rnacentral:lncRNA from 1 species
AUGCUAUGUAGUUAACAUGUUGUUCAAUAUGCUAUGUAGGUAACAUGUUGUUCAAUAUGUUGUCCAAUAUGCUAUGUAGUUAACAUGUUGUUCAACAUGUUGUCCAAUAUGCUAUGUAGGUAGCAUGUUGUUCAGUAUGUCUGGAUAGGUUCUGGUCUGGAUAGGUUCUGGUCUGGAGAAGCUCUGGUCUGGAGAGGUUCUGGUCUGGAUAGGUUCUGGUCUGGAUAUGUUCUGGUCUGGAUAGGUUCUGGUCUGGAGAGGUUCUGGUCUGGAUAGGUUCUGGUCUGGAUAGGUUCUGGUCUGGUCUGGAUAGGUUCUGGUCUGAAAAGGUUCUGGUCUGGAUAGGUUCUUGUCUGGAUAGGCUCUGGUCUGGAUAGGUUCUUGUCUGGAU